UCCUGGAAAUCUUGCGAUGCUGCGCCUCUGGGUUUAGAAACUCUGUGAUUUGGUCGAUAAAACAGGUUGUCAGACACCAGUCUACAUCUGGGUAGAGAAACAUCCUAUACAUUCUGAAGUAUGUGCUGUACUUGGCUUCUAUUUUGAACAUCUAAUGGUGAUUUUUGUUUGGUUGACAUCCACCGGCAAACUUCGAUGACUUAAGUCGGAGACCUACAAGAUCAACAAGAGAAUGGGUGGAGAUGCAUCAAAAGAGCGAGCGGAUCAGGCAGAGAAAGACCGCGAUCAAGCAAAACUGAUAAACAGAAAGCGGAGGAGGACAGACAGAACAUGGAGAAGGAAAUGAAAAAGACAGAAGAGGAUAACAGGCAGCUCCUAGCUGAGAAAGUGAGAAUGGAAACAGAACAAAAGAUGGAAGAAAAACAAAGACAGGAGCUUGAGAACCAAAGACAAACAUUAAUAAAACACAAUAGACAGCGAGAGAAAGAUGAAAGGACAAGAAUUCAGCUGGAAAUUGCAAAAGGAAAUCAGAAAACUGUAUGAAAUGAAUCCACAUAUUAAGAGACAAAGGCAUACACGGUUAAAUGAUCCACAUAAUGAAUUAUUGGACAAGGAACACAAUCAUUGUAUACCUUUAAUAUCCACAAUUGCGCUGCCUGUUUUAUUUUCCCCAAAUGAUGUGCUUAAAGGGAUAGUUCACACACAUGACUUAGUGGUUUAAUAACCCUGUUAGCUGUUUUUGUUUACCUGGCUGCUGUCACCAAAUGCUUUUCAAACCAAUGCCUGUCAAUAUCUGAGAAUCCUCUGUAGCUUUGCAAUAAAUAGAUUCUAUUGAU